GAGUUUGAUCUUGGCUCAGAUUGAACGCUGGCGGCAGGCCUAACACAUGCAAGUCGAGCGGUAGAGAGAAGCUUGCUUCUCUUGAGAGCGGCGGACGGGUGAGUAAUGCCUAGGAAUCUGCCUGGUAGUGGGGGAUAACGCUCGGAAACGGACGCUAAUACCGCAUACGUCCUACGGGAGAAAGCAGGGGACCUUCGGGCCUUGCGCUAUCAGAUGAGCCUAGGUCGGAUUAGCUAGUUGGUGAGGUAAUGGCUCACCAAGGCGACGAUCCGUAACUGGUCUGAGAGGAUGAUCAGUCACACUGGAACUGAGACACGGUCCAGACUCCUACGGGAGGCAGCAGUGGGGAAUAUUGGACAAUGGGCGAAAGCCUGAUCCAGCCAUGCCGCGUGUGUGAAGAAGGUCUUCGGAUUGUAAAGCACUUUAAGUUGGGAGGAAGGGCAGUAAAUUAAUACUUUGCUGUUUUGACGUUACCGACAGAAUAAGCACCGGCUAACUCUGUGCCAGCACG
rnacentral:rRNA from 1 species